GUUAAAAAGAAGAGAGGACUAAAGGCAUCAGUCCAUUCACAAAAAGAAAUGUCUGGUUCAUCCAAGGUUAAAAAGGAGAGAGGACUAAAGGAAUCAGUCCAUUCACAAAAAGAAAUGUCUGGUUCAUCCCAGAUCACUAAUUGCAAAGCAGAGAUGGUCGAUGAUCUAACUGUGGAUCCUAUGUUACUAAAAUUACUGAAAAAAAGU